rnacentral:rRNA from 1 species
CAUGCAAGUCGAGCGAAGCACUUAUGAAAGAUUCUUCGGAUGAAUUCAUUUGUGACUGAGCGGCGGACGGGUGAGUAACGCGUGGGUAACCUGCCUCAUACAGGGGGAUAACAGUUGGAAACGACUGCUAAUACCGCAUAAGCGCACAGUACCGCAUGGUACAGUGUGAAAAACUCCGGUGGUAUGAGAUGGACCCGCGUCUGAUUAGCUAGUUGGUGGGGUAACGGCCUACCAAGGCGACGAUCAGUAGCCGGACUGAGAGGUUGAACGGCCACAUUGGGACUGAGAUACGGCCCAGACUCCUACGGGAGGCAGCAGUCGGGAAUAUUGCGCAAUGGAGGAAACUCUGACGCAGUGACGCCGCGUGCAGGAAGAAGGUUUUCGGAUUGUAAACUGCUUUAGACAGGGAAGAGAAAGGACAGUACCUGUAGAAUAAGCUCCGGCUAACUACGUGCCAGCAGCCGCGGUAAUACGUAGGGAGCGAGCGUUAUCCGGAUUUAUUGGGUGUAAAGGGUGCGUAGACGGGAAUACAAGUUAGUUGUGAAAUACCUCGGCUUAACUGAGGAACUGCAACUAAAACUAUAUUUCUUGAG